UGGCUUAGUGGUAGAGUACUUGCCUAGGAGGCAUGAGGUCCUGGGUUCGAUUCCUGG
rnacentral:tRNA from 1 species